UGCCAGCAGCCGCGGUAAUACGAAGGGUGCUAGCGUUGUUCGGAAUCACUGGGCGUAAAGCGGGCGUAGGUGGCUAUGCAAGUCAGAGGUGAAAUCCCAGGGCUCAACCCUGGAAUUGCCUUUGAAACUGUGUAGCUAGAGUACUGGAGGGGAGUGCGGAAUUGCUAAUGUAGAGGUGAAAUUCGUAGAUAUUAGCAGGAACACCGGUGGCGAAGGCGGCACUCUGGACAGUUACUGACACUGAAGCCCGAAAGCGUGGGGAGCAAACAGGAUUAGAUA
rnacentral:rRNA from 1 species